CGGAGGGUGCGAGCGUUGUUCGGAAUCACUGGGCGUAAAGCGCGUGUAGGCGGCCUGCUAAGUCUGAUGUGAAAGCCCGAGGCUCACCCUCGGAAGUGCAUUGGAAACUGGCAGACUGGAGUCCCGGAGAGGAGGGUGGAAUUCCUGGUGUAGCGGUGAAAUGCGUAGAUAUCAGGAGGAACACCGGUGGCGAAGGCGGCCCUCUGGACGGUGACUGACGCUGAGACGCGAAAGCGUGGGGAGCAAACAGGAUU
rnacentral:rRNA from 1 species